rnacentral:rRNA from 1 species
UCGCUAGUAAUCGUAGAUCAGAAUGCUACGGUGAAUACGUUCCCGGGCCUUGUACACACCGCCCGUCACACCAUGGGAGUGGGUUGCAAAAGAAGUAGGUAGCUUAACCUUCGGGAGGGCGCUUACCACUUUGUGAUUCAUGACUGGGGUGAAGUCGUAACAAGGUAACCGUAGGGGAACCUGCGGUUGGAUCACCUCCUUACCUUAAAGAA